AGAGGAAAAUAACCUCGGGAAACUGAGGAUAAUGUUCCAUAGUUGAAUCGGCUUGGAAAAGUUUUUCAAUUAAAGGGAUAAGGAAAAUGGUUCUUAUCUGCUAUAGGAUAGGAUCGUGCUCGAUUAUGGUUGUUGGUGAGGUAAAGGCUCACCAAGCCGAUAAUCGAUAGGGGCCGUGAGAGCGGGAGCCCCGAGAUGGGUACUGAGACAACGACCCAGGCCUUACGAGGCGCAGCAGGCGCGAAACCUCCGCAAUACACGAAAGUGUGACGGGGUUACCCAAAGUGUUCUAUUUAGAACUGUGGUAGGUGAGUAAUGUCCCCUACUAGAAAGGAGAGGGCAAGGCUGGUGCCAGCCGCCGCGGUAAAACCAGCUCUUCAAGUGGUCGGGAUAAUUAUUGGGCUUAAAGUGUCCGUAGCCGGUUUAGUAAGUUCCUGGUAAAAUCGGGUAGCUUAACUAUCUAUAUGCUAGGAAUACUGCUAUACUAGAGGGCGGGAGAGGUCUGAGGUACUACAGGGGUAGGGGUGAAAUCUUAUAAUCCUUGUAGGACCACCAGUGGCGAAGGCGUCAGACUGGAACGCGCCUGACGGUGAGGGACGAAAGCCAGGGGAGCGAACCGGAUUAGAUACCCGGGUAGUCCUGGCCGUAAACGAUGCAUACUAGGUGAUGGCACGGCCAUGAGCCGUGUCAGUGCCGUAGGGAAACCGUUAAGUGUGCCGCCUGGGAAGUACGGUCGCAAGGCUAAAACUUAAA
rnacentral:rRNA from 1 species